GUUUGGAAAAGGGCUUCUUAGUUCUUCCAGCUGGCCGGCGUAGAGGCGCCCCCAGAAAGGAUCAGACACGGGACAGGCUGAGGUUGAACACGACUAUUUUUGGAGCAAGUGGCAACUUCAGGAAGCUUCCAGUCUCCCAGAGAAGACAGGGAGGCUGCCCUAGGAGGUAACGCAAAUCUCCGUUAAGGACCAAGGGGGAGAAGUCUGAAAUGACUACGGAGCCAAGUAGAAGCGCUGGACCUUGGGAGGACACACUUUUGGAGGAGAGACGAAGGUGGGGCCCCGGAGGGCCAGAGGUACCCAAGGGAAUCCUCUGCCUCAGUGAUGUGAAAAACCCUGUUGCCUGAAGUCAAAGAGAUGUUCCUGACAGUGGCUAAGACCCAUCCGGAUGCAACCAAGCCUUACAGAGCUGCCUCGGGGCAGGGCAGGUGGGACAAAUACUUAGGGGAGAGGCCCAUUUGUAGCUUCCCUGUCGCCUGUGGGAGAAGCUGAUGGAACUUGUAUAAAUAGCACUUCCUGGGUUCUAAGUACCCAUCAGUUUGUUUGUUUGUUUGUUUUCUCUCCCUCUCUCUCUAGUCUUACAAUUAGCUGAGUGAACAUGUUUUAUCCUGACUGUACCCAUGCCAAUAUGAAUCCCAACAAAUGUAAGGAAGGCUUCAUUGUUUUAUGAACUGGGAUAAAAACAAAACAAAACAAAAACAGAACAAAAAAACCAGGAGAAGUAUUCAGAAAUCUUGUU
rnacentral:lncRNA from 1 species